GACGAACGCUGGCGGCGUGCCUAAUACAUGCAAGUUGAGCGCUGAAGGUUGGUACUUGUACCCACUGGAUGAGCAGCGAACGGGUGAGUAACGCGUGGGGAAUCUGCCUUUGAGCGGGGGACAACAUUUGGAAACGAAUGCUAAUACCGCAUAAAAACUUUAAACACAAGUUUUAAGUUUGAAAGAUGCAAUUGCAUCACUCAAAGAUGAUCCCGCGUUGUAUUAGCUAGUUGGUGAGGUAAAGGCUCACCAAGGCGAUGAUACAUAGCCGACCUGAGAGGGUGAUCGGCCACAUUGGGACUGAGACACGGCCCAAACUCCUACGGGAGGCAGCAGUAGGGAAUCUUCGGCAAUGGACGAAAGUCUGACCGAGCAACGCCGCGUGAGUGAAGAAGGUUUUCGGAUCGUAAAACUCUGUUGGUAGAGAAGAACGUUGGUGAGAGUGGAAAGCUCAUCAAGUGACGGUAACUACCCAGAAAGGGACGGCUAACUACG
rnacentral:rRNA from 1 species